UACGAAGGGGGCUAGCGUUGCUCGGAAUCACUGGGCGUAAAGCGCACGUAGGCGGCUUUCUAAGUCAGGGGUGAAAUCCUGGAGCUCAACUCCAGAACUGCCUUUGAUACUGGAGUGCUGAGUCCGGGAGAGGUGAGUGGAACUCCGAGUGUAGAGGUGAAAUUCGUAGAUAUUCGGAAGAACACCAGUGGCGAAGGCGGCUCACUGGCCCGGUACUGACGCUGAGGUGCGAAAGCGUGGGGAGCGAACAGG
rnacentral:rRNA from 1 species